ensembl:lncRNA
GAAGCAGCUUGUUGUCAUGGUGUAUUCCAAAGUCUGGAUUCAGGGCAGAGGGACAGUAUUUUAGUUGCUGAUAUGUGAUGCUGACGCUGUGCUGCAUGAAGAAGUUUUCAUUUAUAAAUGUUGGACUUGUGCCCAGACUGCUAUGGUAGAAUUUGGAAGAAAACACAAUAAGGAGAAGAACGUCAGACCAAUUUUGCUGGAACAUAUGUGGGGGGGAAAAGGCUUUAACAAAAGACAUUUUUCAAACAGUGAAAGAACUAGAAAAUGGACAAUAGUUAUGAAUCUUUAAAAAUCUAUCCUGCAUCAACCGCUAUUAUCCAUGCAGAGUCAAAAGAAUGCUUUAUCUGUCGAGAAGGAGACGAGAUGGGUCGUGACGCUCUGCUGCACUUCUGUGACUGCAAAAACCUGAUUGCUCACCAGAAGUGUGUGUUAACCUGGAUACAAAAGGGUUCUGAUAAUCAAGAUAGAGCAAGAUGCAAAGUAUGUACAGCUGAGAUGGUUUGCUGAGCCUUCUAAAACUCAACUCCUGGUUUAAAAAUACAUGUGGAAACAAGUGGCUGUAAUACUUCCUGCUGGUUUGACAACUCACAAUGGCCUAGGAUCGUAGAGGAGGUUCCUGUCCCACAAAUCCAGGUAAUAUUGUGUUAGCACCACCUUCUAUUUUAAAGAACAGUAAUACUAUACAUACAGC